GUGCCAGCCGCGGCGGUAAUACGGAGGGUGCAAGCGUUAAUCGGAAUUACUGGGCGUAAAGCGCACGCAGGCGGUCUGUCAAGUCGGAUGUGAAAUCCCCGGGCUCAACCUGGGAACUGCAUUCGAAACUGGCAGGCUGGAGUCUUGUAGAGGGGGUAGAAUUCCAGGUGUAGCGGUGAAAUGCGUAGAGAUCUGGAGGAAUACCGGUGGCGAAGGCGGCCCCCUGGACAAGACUGACGCUCAGGUGCGAAAGCGUGGGAGCAAACAGGAUUAGAUACCCUGGUAGUCCAACGCCGUAAACGAUGUCGACUUGGAGUUGUGCCCGUUGGAGGCGUGGCUUCCGGAGCUAACGCGUUAAGCCGA
rnacentral:rRNA from 1 species